UGACAGCUUGCUCUCUAAAGUCUUUCUCCAUCAUUUCUGCUUCUCAAAUUUUUGUAGUUGUCCAUUACUAUGGGCUUUCAGUACAUUCUCCACUUACCUCAGAUUAUUUCACUCCCAUAACAUCUGUGCUUGUUUUACUUAUAUUACUGGCCCAGACCCUGAAGACAUUAACUCUGUAACCUCUGUUCUAACCUUUGGAAUUUACCACCCGUUGGCUCCACUUCUCUCUUCAUACAUUUAUCAGAGUCCAGAGAGAGCCACAUGUCCAUACUGGGCUUCCUAGCUUUGGGUGGAGGACGAAACAGAAGCUCUUUGAAGAUAACUUCCUUCCUGAGUUUUUGAUAUCCAGAAACCUAAGCUCAAGAGGGUAUUAUGUUUUGGAGAAUUGAACCAGUAAUUAAAGAAAGAGAUAAAAGAUGGAGAUCAAGGAAGAGGAAAAACAAAGAUCAAGAAUAAACCAACCCAUAUAUGAAAGAGAAACGGUGCUAUUCCUGAGUGCACAUCAGAGUAUGGGCAUGUUGAAUCAAAACAAAAGAUCUCUUUUUAAGUUUUGGCUCAGUCCUCUGUUCAUUUCCAGGUGCCCCUGGAACUCACACGCGCUGCAGAUCCAGGCAUGGACAGGAUACAUGAUCUCCACACACAGAUUUUCCAGGAUGGUCCCAAGAGCGAAUAAGUUGGUUUGGGAAGUGUGGUCACAGUGGCCUUGCGCCAUACUGUCAAAAGGCACGGGUCCUCCUCUCAGGAAGCCUGUGCUUUAGUGAGUGAAGCUGCUUUGUUUUAUGACUUGGUGCUUUCACAGCCAAUGCACGUGGCCACCACAGAGCUCCUCUUGGUCUCAUGUCUGGUGGGAGGGAGAGUGCGCUGCAGAACCACUUGGGAGAAGUGGAGCAUCCUUACUCUCAGUUCCAAACUCUGCUCGGCGCAGACGGGGUUCCGGACCAAAAUCCGCAUUUGUCCUUGACUGGGUAGCUGUGAACUGAGCAACCACAAAGUCGGUGGGGGCAAGUGGAGGAAGAGAAGUUCCAAAGAGACAACAGAAGAACUUGCAGGGGUGAGGCAGGAGAAAAGAUGAGCAGAGGAGAAAAGAUAGCCUUGCAGAGCUCCCCCCUCUUCUAAUUCUCAGAACUCACUCCCAUUGGAUUCCAGGAAAUGGCUGGUGCAACUUUGUAACCAAAUCCCCUGAAUCCUUUUGUAUACCGUGUCCGCUCCUCUGCCCCUCUGCAGUGCCCUUCACGGCUAGGUCCGGUUACAGAGAACAACUGUCCAGGCCAGGCUGGCCCUGAGACUCUCCAGGGAUCCCGCAGCUUCCGGGGGCCCUCCCCCCUCACUACUGGCCCGCCGGCCCUCCUGAGGGAGCGGAACUGUGGAGGCAAAUGCCCUGAAGCCCCAGACCUUGCCUCACACCCACCUCCCGAAGAAAUCUCUGGUGUCUAACCCGGCUGAGGGCUGCAGUUUCCUUUUCUGCACCUUCCUCAUCUAGAUCCUUCCUCUUCUCUGUGGGAAUACUUUUGACCACGUCUUAUUCUACGAGAGAUGGGGAUGGACUCACUCAGGGUUAGCAAGCUUUUUCUGUAAAGGAACAGACAGUAAAUAUUUUAGUCUUUGCAGGGCCACAUCCAUAGAUGACAUCUUCCUUUCUUUUUCCACCUUGCCAUGCCCCCCGCCCCCCACAACUAUUUAAAAAUGUUAGGAAAAAAAAUCCUUGUUCAAAGGCUGUAUAAAGACAGGCCGCAGCCAGAUUUGGUCAUAGUUGGUUGACCCUUGGACUAGACGAUCUCUCUUACCUGCUGAAAAUGUCUUAAAAAUUUGUUCUGGGCCUAGACAGACCGAGCUGUGCUGACCUCUAACUCCUGUGUGCGUCAUCCUGGGAGUGUUGGCAAAGGGUGCCAGAAUCCAAUAAAAGAGUUGGAGAACUCAUUCAUUAUCCCACUUGGAACACUGAGAGGUCCCCUCCAAGCCCAGCACCCCCAUGCGGGCACAUGCAGUCCGACCAGAGUCAGUGUUGCAAGAUAACUGACACUUUGAAUCACUGCGAACGCUCUACCUUUAUUGAGGAAUUGGACCAUCUUUGAAGCCACUGCUUUGCUUAUUGUGAUAAUGCGUGGUUAAGUAAAUCGAUAGGGCAGGCUUUCCCCACAUUGCCAAGAGGUGGAAACAGGAUCAGAGGCAUUUGUGGACUUUCCUCAGGCACUGAAACUGGGAGGGAGAUAGAUCCAAGUACGUGAGGAGAAUAUCUGGCCAACAGUCAAAUUCAUGGCGGAGGCCAUGACUGUUACUGAGGGAGAGCAAGUUUGGCAAACAUUGCAGCCUGUAAGCCCUGUGGGAGACUCACGAUGCCCAAGAGCAUAGCCAGGGUCCGGAGAAGGCUUGCAUGAAAGAAACCAGUUCUUUGCAUAGCCAUGUCUCACUUUUCUUCGAGCAGCACCUGAUGAUUAUCCCCGGGGCUUGGAUUUUACGUCGAAUUCUCCUUAUGCUGAAGUCAAGUCUGUUCAUUCAUAGCAUCCUCCAUCACUGGGGCUCUUUGCUGUUUGUUGGGUCUCUCCCUUAAUAGGGUUUGAUCUCCACAAGAGCAGGGACUUUGUUUAACUGAGAACAGUGCUUGCACCCAGUGGACAGUCAAUAUUUGUUGAACAGAAGCAUCAGUGAGUGGCCUGGGUGCCAGAGAAGGCAGCAGUGUGGACCGUAUCUUUACCUGUGCCGCCCCCCCUGCUAGGAACGCCUCCCCUGUCCUCUGCUCCCCUAUUCCACGCCUAUCGCUUCUCUCCAGUCUCUGACUCACCCCGUCUAAGGAGUCUUCUUGGCUACCCACCACCUGCCACCGUCCAUCCUGGGCCACACUCCCUUGGACACCUGUUCCUACUUCAUCAGACCUUGCUUACUUGGCUUUCUUCUCUGGGUAAAUUAAGGAGAGCAGGUUCAAUUCAGGGAGCAGCCUGAAGGCUGAACUGUGAUGACCGAUUGGACCCAUCUGGGAUGGAUGCUGAAGAUAGAGACAAUCACAGGCCCUGAGCUCAGGGGCCCCCUGUCCAGUGGGGGUCAUCUCCCACUGGGUCCCCAGAGCCAACUGUUCAAUUUUCAGGGUUUUUUCAAGCCAGUUGCCAAACAUGGCCCUUUGCUAAAUCAGGGUUGAACUGCAACUGUAGGCUUGCUACAGAUACAAGGGUUUGGCAACAAUCCAGAAAAGCAUUCUCUGGGAAUCAAUUGGCUAUACAGAAUUGACA
rnacentral:lncRNA from 1 species